rnacentral:tRNA from 1 species
UCCCUGGUAGCUCAGAGAUAAAGAAUCUGCCUGCAGUGCAGAAGACCUAGGUUUGAUCCCUGGGUCGGGAA